rnacentral:rRNA from 1 species
GACGAACGCUGGCGGCGUGCUUAACACAUGCAAGUCGAACGGACUAUUCCAUUUCGGUGAGAUGGUCAGUGGAGAACGGGUGAGUAACGCGUCGACAACCUACCGCUUAGCUGGGGACAACAUCGCGAAAGCGGUGCUAAUACCGAAGGAAGUGACUUUCCUGCAUGGGAAAGAUACUAAAGGUGGCCACUAGUUAUAAGCACCCACUGAAAGAUGGGUCUGCGUCUGAUUAGCUAGUUGGCGGGGUAACGGCCCACCAAGGCGACGACCAGUAGCCGGUCUGAGAGGAUGAACGGCCACAUUGGGACUGAGACACGGCCCAAACUCCUACGGGAGGCAGCAGUGGGGAAUCUUCCGCAAUGGACGAAAGUCUGACGGAGCAACGCCGCGUGAGUGAAGAAGGUUUUCGGAUCGUAAAGCUCUGUUGUUUGAGACGAAUGUGCCUGUUUCGAAUAGGGAUAGGUAAUGACGGUAUUAAACGAGAAAGCCACGGCUAACUACGUGCCAGCCGCCGCGGUAA